CCUACGGGAGGCAGCAGUGGGGAAUAUUGCUCAAUGGGCGAAACCCUGAUGCAGCGACGCCGCGUGAGUGAAGAAGUAUCUCGGUAUGUUAAGCCCCAUCUGCAGGGAAGCAAAUGACGGUACCUGUCUAAGAAUCCCCGGCCAUCAACGUGCCAGCAGCGGUGGCAAUAAGGAGGGGGCAGGCGUUAUCCGGAUUUACUGGGUGUAAAGGGGGCGUAUGUGGCAGGGCAAGUCAGAUGUGAAAACCCGGGGCUCAACCCCGGGAGUGCGUUUGAAACUGGCCCGCUGGAGUGCAGGAGAGGUAAGCGGAAUUCCUAGUGUAGCGGUGAAAUGCAUAGAUAUUAGGAGGAACACCGGUGGCGAAGGCGGCUUACUGGACUGUAACUGACACUGAGGCUCGAAAGCGUGGGGAGCAAACAGGAUUAGAUACCCGAGUAGUC
rnacentral:rRNA from 1 species